rnacentral:lncRNA from 1 species
GACGUUCAACUCGCUCUUUUGGCAUUAUUGAAUAGAUUGACAAAGAAAUCGCCGAGUUCAGGUACCCUUGAACUCUCGUUCGACGUAUUAGGAUUAAUGCUAAGAUUUGAUUACUUGGCAAUGUUACGGAUUAAAGAAAUUCAAGAUGAGAGUCGCGAGAAAGAACUUUUUGUUUUUUCUUUAUUUUACAUUCAUCAUGUUUACAUAUUUAUGCAAAUAUAG